rnacentral:rRNA from 1 species
CUAGCUACAGGCUUAACACAUGCAAGUCGAGGGGCAGCAUGGUCUUAGCUUGCUAAGGCCGAUGGCGACCGGCGCACGGGUGAGUAACACGUAUCCAACCUGCUGUCUACUCUUGGACAGCCUUCUGAAAGGAAGAUUAAUACAAGAUGGCAUCAUGAGUCCGCAUGUUCACAUGAUUAAAGGUAUUCCGGUAGACGAUGGGGAUGCGUUCCAUUAGAUAGUAGGCGGGGUAACGGCCCACCUAGUCUUCGAUGGAUAGGGGUUCUGAGAGGAAGGUCCCCCACAUUGGAACUGAGACACGGUCCAAACUCCUACGGGAGGCAGCAGUGAGGAAUAUUGGUCAAUGGGCGAGAGCCUGAACCAGCCAAGUAGCGUGAAGGAUGACUGCCCUAUGGGUUGUAAACUUCUUUUAUAAAGGAAUAAAGUCGGGUAUGGAUACCCGUUUGCAUGUACUUUAUGAAUAAGGAUCGGCCAACUCCGUGCCAGCAGCCGCGGUAAUACGGAGGAUCCGAGCGUUAUCCGGAUUUAUUGGGUUUAAAGGGAGCGUAGAUGGAUGUUUAAGUCAGUUGUGAAAGUUUGCGGCUCAACCGUAAAAUUGCAGUUGAUACUGGACAUCUUGAGUGCAGUUGAGGCAGGCGGAAUUCGUGGUGUAGCGGUGAAAUGCUUAGAUAUCACGAAGAACUCCGAUUGCGAAGGCAGCCUGCUAAGCUGCAACUGACAUUGAGGCUCGAAAGUGUGGGUAUCAAACAGGAUUAGAUACCCUGGUAGUCCACACGGUAAACGAUGAAUACUCGCUGUUUGCGAUAUACAGCAAGCGGCCAAGCGAAAGCGUUAAGUAUUCCACCUGGGGAGUACGCCGGCAACGGUGAAACUCAAAGGAAUUGACGGGGGCCCGCACAAGCGGAGGAACAUGUGGUUUAAUUCGAUGAUACGCGAGGAACCUUACCCGGGCUUAAAUUGCAGAUGAAUUACGGUGAAAGCCGUAAGCCGCAAGGCAUCUGUGAAGGUGCUGCAUGGUUGUCGUCAGCUCGUGCCGUGAGGUGUCGGCUUAAGUGCCAUAACGAGCGCAACCCUUGUUGUCAGUUACUAACAGGUCAUGCUGAGGACUCUGACAAGACUGCCAUCGUAAGAUGUGAGGAAGGUGGGGAUGACGUCAAAUCAGCACGGCCCUUACGUCCGGGGCUACACACGUGUUACAAUGGGGGGUACAGAGGGCCGCUACCACGCGAGUGGAUGCCAAUCCCAAAAACCUCUCUCAGUUCGGACUGGAGUCUGCAACCCGACUCCACGAAGCUGGAUUCGCUAGUAAUCGCGCAUCAGCCACGGCGCGGUGAAUACGUUCCCGGGCCUUGUACACACCGCCCGUCAAGCCAUGAAAGCCGGGGGUACCUGAAGUACGUAACCGCAAGGAGCGUCCUAGGGUAAAACUGGUAAU